UCCUACGGGGGGCAGCAGUGAGGAAUAUUGGUCAAUGGGCGGAAGCCUGAACCAGCCAAGUCGCGUGAGGGAAUAAGGCCCUACGGGUCGUAAACCUCUUUUGCCGGGGAGCAAGGGCGGGGACGUGUCCCGGCCCGGAGAGUACCCGGAGAAAAAGCAUCGGCUAACUCCGUGCCAGCAGCAGCGGUAAUACGGAGGAUGCGAGCGUUAUCCGGAUUUAUUGGGUUUAAAGGGUGCGUAGGCGGGCUUUUAAGUCAGCGGUAAAAAUUCGGGGCUCAACCCCGUGCGGACGUUGAAACUGGGGG
rnacentral:rRNA from 1 species